rnacentral:rRNA from 1 species
CCUCGGGGGGCAGCAGUGGGGAAUAUUGGACAAUGGGCGAAAGCCUGAUCCAGCCAUGCCGCGUGUGUGAAGAAGGCCUUCGGGUUGUAAAGCACUUUCAGUGGGGAAGAAAGCCUUGGGGCUAAUACCCUCGAGGAAGGACAUCACCCACAGAAGAAGCACCGGCUAACUCCGUGCCAGCAGCCGCGGUAAUACGGAGGGUGCGAGCGUUAAUCGGAAUUACUGGGCGUAAAGCGCGCGUAGGCGGUCUGAUAAGCCGGUUGUGAAAGCCCCGGGCUCAACCUGGGAACGGCAUCCGGACCUGUCAGGCUAGAGUGCAGGAGAGGAAGGUAGAAUUCCCGGUGUAGCGGUGAAAUGCGUAGAGAUCGGGAGGAAUACCAGUGGCGAAGGCGGCCUUCUGGACUGACACUGACGCUGAGGUGCGAAAGCGUGGGUAGCAAACAGGAUUAGAUACCCCGGUAGUC